rnacentral:rRNA from 1 species
UACGUAGGGUGCAAGCGUUGUCCGGAAUUAUUGGGCGUAAAGAGCUCGUAGGCGGUCUGUCGCGUCGAAUGUGAAAACACGAGGCUCAACUUCGUGCCUGCAUUCGAUACGGGCAGACUAGAGUUCGGUAGGGGAGUCUGGAAUUCCUGGUGUAGCGGUGAAAUGCGCAGAUAUCAGGAGGAACACCGGUGGCGAAGGCGGGACUCUGGGCCGAUACUGACGCUGAGGAGCGAAAGCGUGGGGAGCAAAACGG